rnacentral:rRNA from 1 species
UACGAAGGGGGCUAGCGUUGCUCGGAAUGACUGGGCGUAAAGGGCGCGUAGGCGGUGUACACAGUCAGGCGUGAAAUUCCCGGGCUUAACCUGGGGGGCUGCAUUUGAUACGUGUUGUCUAGAGUGAGGAAGAGGGUUGUGGAAUUCCCAGUGUAGAGGUGAAAUUCGUAGAUAUUGGGAAGAACACCGGUGGCGAAGGCGGCAACCUGGUCCUUGACUGACGCUGAGGCGCGAAAGCGUGGGGAGCAAACAGG